rnacentral:piRNA from 1 species
UAAGACUAAACUGUUGACACUGACCUC